UACGUAGGGUGCGAGCGUUAAUCGGAAUUACUGGGCGUAAAGCGUGCGCAGGCGGUUUUGUAAGCCAGAUGUGAAAUCCCCGGGCUUAACCUGGGAAUGGCAUUUGGGACUGCAAGGCUGGAGUGCGGCAGAGGAGACUGGAAUUCCUGGUGUAGCAGUGAAAUGCGUAGAUAUCAGGAGGAAUACCGAUGGCGAAUGCAGGUCUCUGGGCUGACACUGACGCUCAUGCACGAAAGCGUGGGGAGCAAACAGG
rnacentral:rRNA from 1 species